UACGUAGGGACCGAGCGUUGUCCGGAUUCAUUGGGCGUAAAGAGCUCGUAGGCGGCUGUUCAAGUCGAACGUGAAAACUCGGAGCUCAACUCCGAGCCUGCGUUCGAUACUGGAUGGCUAGAGUCUGGUAGGGGGAUCUGGAAUUCCUGGUGUAGCGGUGGAAAUGCGCAGAUAUCAGGAGGAACACCGGUGGCGAAGGCGGGAUCCUGGCCGUAGGUCGACU
rnacentral:rRNA from 1 species